rnacentral:rRNA from 1 species
GACGAACGCUGGCGGCGUGCCUAAUACAUGCAAGUCGAACGCACAGUUUAUACCGUAGCUUGCUACACCAUAAACUGUGAGUUGCGAACGGGUGAGUAACGCGUAGGUAACCUGCCUGGUAGCGGGGGAUAACUAUUGGAAACGAUAGCUAAUACCGCAUAAUAUUGAUUAUUGCAUGAUAAUUGAUUGAAAGAUGCUAUUGCAUCACUACCAGAUGGACCUGCGUUGUAUUAGCUAGUAGGUGAGGUAACGGCUCACCUAGGCGACGAUACAUAGCCGACCUGAGAGGGUGAUCGGCCACACUGGGACUGAGACACGGCCCAGACUCCUACGGGAGGCAGCAGUAGGGAAUCUUCGGCAAUGGACGAAAGUCUGACCGAGCAACGCCGCGUGAGUGAAGAAGGUUUUCGGAUCGUAAAGCUCUGUUGUAAGAGAAGAACGGGUGUGAGAGUGGAAAGUUCACACUGUGACGGUAUCUUACCAGAAAGGGACGGCUAGCUACGUG